UUGACCUCAAAUCGGGUGAGACUACCCGCUGAACUUAAGCAUAUCAAUAAGCGGAGGAAAAGAAACUAACAAGGAUUCCCCUAGUAACUGCGAGUGAAGCGGGAAAAGCUCAAAUUUAAAAUCUGGUGGUCUUUGGCCAUCCGAGUUGUAAUUUAGAGAAGCGUCUUCCGCGCUGGACCGUGCACAAGUCUCCUGGAAUGGAGCGUCAUAGAGGGUGAGAAUCCCGUCUUUGGCAUGGACACACCAGGGCUUUUGUGAUGCGCUCUCGAAGAGUCGAGUUGUUUGGGAAUGCAGCUCAAAAUGGGUGGUGAACUCCAUCUAAAGCUAAAUAUUGGCGAGAGACCGAUAGCGAACAAGUACCGUGAGGGAAAGAUGAAAAGCACUUUGGAAAGAGAGUGAAACAGUACGUGAAAUUGUUGAAAGGGAAACGCUUGAAGUCAGUCACGUCGACCGAGACUCAACCUUGCCUCGGCUUGGUGUACUUCUCGGCUGACGGGUCAGCAUCAAUUUUGCCCCUUGGAUAAUGACGAGGGAAAUGUGACACCUUUAUGGUGUGUUAUAGUCUCUCGUCGCAUGCAAGGGUUGGGAUUGAGG
rnacentral:rRNA from 2 species